GGGGAUUUAGCUCAGUGGUAGAGCGCUUGCCUAGCAAGCACAAAGCCCUGGGUUCGGUCCCCAGCUCCG
rfam:Rattus norvegicus chromosome 6, whole genome shotgun sequence.